rnacentral:rRNA from 1 species
GAUGAACGCUGGCGGCGUGCCUAAUACAGGCAAGUCGAGCGGACGGACGAGAAGCUUGCUUUUCUGAUGUUAGCGGCGGACGGGUGAGUAACACGUGGAGACGCUACCUAUAAGACUGGGAUAACUUCGGGAAACCGGAGCUAAUACCGGAUAAUAUUUUGAACCGCAUGGUUCAAAAGUGAAAGACGGUCUUGCUGUCACUUAUAGAUGGAUCCGCGCUGCAUUAGCUAGUUGGUAAGGUAACGGCUUACCAAGGCAACGAUGCAUAGCCGACCUGAGAGGGCGGUCGGCCACACUGGAACUGAGACACGGUCCAGACUCCUACGGGAGGCAGCAGUAGGGAAUCUUCCGCAAUGGGCGAAAGCCUGACGGAGCAACGCCGCGUGAGUGAUGAAGGUCUUCGGAUCGUAAAACCCUGUUAUUAGGGAAGAACAUAUGUGUAAGUAACUGUGCACAUCUUGACGGUACCUAAUCAGAAAGCCACGGCUAACUACGUG